rnacentral:rRNA from 1 species
AGCGUAGACGGAUGGACAAGUCUGAUGUGAAAGGCUGGGGCUCAACCCCGGGACUGCAUUGGAAACUGCCCGUCUUGAGUGCCGGAGAGGUAAGCGGAAUUCCUAGUGUAGCGGUGAAAUGCGUAGAUAUUAGGAGGAACACCAGUGGCGAAGGCGGCUUACUGGACGGUAACUGACACUGAGGCACGAAAGUGUGGGGAGCAAACA